rnacentral:lncRNA from 1 species
ACAGGAUGGAACUGACACCAAUCUACUUGAUGUUCUUGGUGUUCAACUCUGUUCUGCCUCCAGGUGAUGCUGUUCUGCAUGUCAGUCCAAACAUGUCUCAGUUUUUUAAUGGCAUGACUGUCAGUCUGACCUGUGUUGAUCUUGGGAUCUCUGAGGGUUGGAAGGUGUAUAUGAACUCAUCAUCUAGACUAAAUCUGCCAGCGUGUUUUAUCAAGUGGCCCAUUUGCACCAUUGACAGGAUGAAGUCAUCAGACAGUGGAAUAUACUGGUGUCAGUCUGAUUCUGGAGAACACAUCACUGUCAACAUCAUAGUACAUGGUAUGUAAAUCUCCAUCUACUAACAUCCAGAACAUGGUAUAUUAAUAAUCACCAUCGACAAACAUCACAUUACAUGUUAUGUAAUGGACAUCGAGUACCAUCACAGUACAUGGUAUGUUAAUAAUCAGGAUCUACUAACAUCACAGUACAUGGUAUGUUAAUAAUCACUAUUUACUAAUAUCACUAUGUUAUGUUAAUAAUCACCAUCUACUGACAUCGCAGCACAUUCUAUGUUAAUUAUCACCAUUUACUAAUAUCACUAUGGUAUGCUAAUAAUCACCAUCCACUAACAUCACAGUACAUUGUAUAUUAAUAAUUAUUAGUGGCAUGUACUGAGAGCAUGUACAUUCCUAAGUGACCCCAAACAUUUGAACGGUAGUGUAAGUGUUUAUCAUUGGAAAGGUAAUUCGAUUAGAUUUUCUAUAGAAUUUUGAGUUCCAGUGCG